rnacentral:rRNA from 1 species
UAGAGUUUGAUCCUGGCUCAGGAUGAACGCUAGCUACAGGCUUAACACAUGCAAGUCGAGGGGCAGCAUGGUCUUAGCUUGCUAAGGCCGAUGGCGACCGGCGCACGGGUGAGUAACGCGUAUCCAACCUGCCUUACACUCUUGGACAGCCUUCUGAAAGGGAGAUUAAUACAAGAUGUUAUCAUGAGUAAGCAUUUUCGCAUGAUUAAAGGUUUACCGGUGUAAGAUGGGGAUGCGUUCCAUUAGAUAGUAGGCGGGGUAACGGCCCACCUAGUCUUCGAUGGAUAGGGGUUCUGAGAGGAAGGUCCCCCACAUUGGAACUGAGACACGGUCCAAACUCCUACGGGAGGCAGCAGUGAGGAAUAUUGGUCAAUGGACGAGAGUCUGAACCAGCCAAGUAGCGUGAAGGAUGAAGGUUCUAUGGAUUGUAAACUUCUUUUAUACGGGAAUAAACGAAUCCACGCGUGGAUUUUUGCAUGUACCGUAUGAAUAAGGAUCGGCUAACUCCGUGCCAGCAGCCGUGGUAAUACGGAGGAUCCGAGCGUUAUCCGGAUUUAUUGGGUUUAAAGGGAGCGUAGAUGGGUUGUUAAGUCAGUUGUGAAAGUUUGCGGCUCAACCGUAAAAUUGCAAUUGAUACUGGCAGUCUUGAGUACAGUUGAGGUAGGCGGAAUUCGUGGUGUAGCGGUGAAAUGCUUAGAUAUCACGAAGAACUCCGAUUGCGAGGCAGCUACUACCUGUACUGACAUUGAUGCUCGAAGUGG